GACGAACGCUGGCGGCGUGCUUAACACAUGCAAGUCGAACGGAAAGGUCCUGCUGUUGUGUGGUGCUCGAGUGGCGAACGGUUGAGUAACACGUGAUUAACCUUCCCUUGCCUUUGGGAUAACUUCAGGUAACUAGGGCUAAUACCGGAUAGUAGCUCCUACUGCUUGUUGUUGGUUGGAAAGUUUCGGCGGGUUGGUAUGGACUCGCGGCUUAUUGGCCUGUUGGUGGGGUAGUGGCUUGCCAAGGCAUUGACGGGUCGCCGGCCUGAGAGGGUGACCGGCCACAUUGGGCCACGGAUACGAGCCAGAGUCCAACGGGAGGAAGGAGCGGGGAACAUAGCACGCAGGGCGGCAUCAGGGUGCAGGAUCGCCGCGUGGGGGAUGACGGCCGUAGGGUUGUAACCCGCUUUCGCCUGUAACGAAGCGUGAGUGACGGUAAUGGGCAAAGAAGCACCGGCUAACUACGUG
rnacentral:rRNA from 1 species